CAUCCUGGUGAGCGAAGGGGGAAGCUCUGAUUUUCCAUGAUAAAAAACCCAAAAUCAAAUACCAAAAUGUAUUGGUAUUUAGAAUUUAUUUUAUUAUAGUGAUUGAGGCAUUGGUAGACUUCCAAACUGCUUUAAAAUUGUAAAUGUAUCAAUAAAACAUGUUGAGAUAUAUAUAUAUAUAUAGUGGCAUUUAAUUUUAAUCACAGAUUUUGGGAGGUUUGUCAGAUACUUUGUGAUUUUUAAACAGAGAAAACCAUGAUCCCUGCUGAUUAUGGUGUGUUCAAGGUGUGGGGAGGAAAGAGGAGCUUUACUGAGGAGCUUUGUUGCAGCAUGUUUUCCAGCAAGCUAUUUGUCUCUCCAGCAUAGGUGCCAACUUCUAUUCUUGCUGGAGGGAGCGGCCUAAGAUGACAGAUAUAUGAAAAGUGUUAUACAUUUCAGGUGAUAACCCUUUUCCCGAGUGGGGCCAGGGCCCUUGGGCCCCCAUGUACUCAGCACCUCUCCUCUCUAUGACAUCCAGAAGCUACCUCUGGAUCUUCCUGUCCUUUUCUGUGGUCUUCUAGGUUACAGUGAGUCUCAGCUUGGUCAGCUACCAGUUCAGGUUGAGGCCCCCAUUGAUUUAUCUCCGUGUCUUUCUCUAGCUGGAAACACCCACUCUGUUCCUGAGCAGUGAGGACUCCUCCAAAACUCAAUUUCUGUCAUCUUUCUCUCUUCGCCAUCAGAUUUCCAAGUGUUGGAAGGCUGAUCAAACUCCUUCCCUUUAAGGUCAUACAGGCUCAGGUGCAAGUUCUCUUGCACCAUGGUCCAAAUCCUGUCCAUCCCAGGUAGCACUAACUUUGCCAGAGGUCAAGGCUUUGCCACAGGCUGUCUUUUCAGCCAACAUCAGCUUUUUGCUCUCAUUCUGGCAUCAUUGUGUGUUAUAGGCAUGUCCCCUCUGGGCUAUCACUUUCACAAUUUUUAUUCCAGUAAUUCAUCAUAAGAGCUUCUUGAGCUUCUGCCUCUCCUCAAAGGGUGAGAAAAUCCAGCAACUGAGUGUGGUUCCAAGUGGGUGCAUAUGUCACAGUACAGCAAAUGCUGUAAUGUUAUGGUGUAAGGAUGGUGACUCUUGGAGUAGGCAGGCACAGGUGUCCUGCUGUUGUUUGUAUAUCAGUAUUUUAAUAGGAAAGGCUAGUUACCUACUGCAGAACAGCACAGGUUAUACGGGUAAAUAGAUAGGUCACCUCUGGUGUGCUGUAAAGCAGUAUGGCAUGCCAGCUAUAAGACCCCCAAGCUGGGGUGCAGUAGUGAUGUAUCCCUACACACACUGAUUUGCACUAAUUUAAUAUGUAGUAAUUUAAAAAUAGGAAACAGUACGGAAUGCACAUUAUCAUGCCAAUAAGUAUGGCCUAAGGACUGUAUUAUAUUUCUCCCUUUAUACUCUGUUUUCCCUUUUUUGCCACUUCUUCUUCUCAUGUCCUGUCACCAUGUUUAAAUGUGACUCCAAAAAUGGGCACAUACUAUUGCUCAAUCUGUAGCCUUACUGAGGUCUUGUUGGUGCACGAUUUCCCUAUAAAUGGGAAGAUCAGUAGAUGUUGUAUAGCUUAAAAGUUUCCUCCACAUUCACAAAUAAUGUUUGUAUUGUUAGAUACAAACACCAUAGCUGCACGUUAACUUUAGUAUUACUAACUGUUGUUUGGAGGUAGUUCAAGCUUCCCUAUGUUGGCCAAUCAAGCUCUGCUCCUGCAGGGAGAUAUUCAUUCACCGGUUUUGAUUUUCAUCCUAACUCUCUCCUGAGUCAUUUCUAGUCACAAUUCUAACAUUUGUAUUUGUGUGGCUAUCAGUGUUUCAUCCAAUGACUACAUUGUAGAGAGGAUUUUUUUCUGUGAUCUUAAUGCCACAAUGUAGCCAUGUAGUGGGUACUGCCACUGAAUGCAAUUAAAACAAACAAACAAAAAAUCAAUCCAUAGGAAAAUAGAAAAGGGAAACUUAGUUUAACAUUUCUGCAGGGUGACACCUCUGGCAUUUUGCACAUACACAUAUUUUUACCAGAGAACCACGCUGGCCUGACACAAACAGCCACAGAUGUAUCUUUAGAGGUUUCUAUUAAGAUAUGGAGCAUAAUCAGAAUCAUGCUAUUAAUUUAGAAAUGAAAAACAAAACUAGAGAAUACUAUAAGAAGGAAAUCUUGAAUGGUGUUCAAAAAAAGCAAUGACUUUGCUUCCAAUUAAUAAACACAAUAUUUGAAGACCUAGUAUCAGCUACAUUUUCAUUAAGAAAAUAUGAACUGAAAUAUAAAGUAGGAGGCAGCCCUGUAACCCUUAUUCAGGUGACCUGAUCCACUCACUUAGCAUGUCCACUCUUGUAAGUUAUGGUUGCAAGGACUGGGCCCUCAGCUAGCUCAGAGGAUGAAAGGUAACUGCUGAUUAUUAUAUUUUCUUCCUUUCCAUUUCAGUCCGUGCCCUAUUUCCAAUAUGUUACACUGGUUACUAUAAAAUGCGAGCAUCAUGAAAAACAACAGACCUAUAUUGUUUUGCUGCUCUCCUGUAUCCUUGAACCAUUAAUACUAUCUCACAAUGAAGAGAGACUUUGAAAGGAGCCACAACGUAAAAGCAAAUGUCUCUUUGCUAAACAUUCACACAAACAGCACCCAGAACAAACUGUACGCAGAAUAAUAGGAUGUAAAUGGAAGCAGACAAUGCCAAAACUGUACAAUUAUAUUUUUGUCUGUCCUUGAUUUUGAGAAUUUUAUUAUUCAUCAGAGUCCAGUUCAUAUUUGUUUUGUUUUAAUGUCUGAAAUGCUUUGCAUUUCAUCCUAAUAGUCCUCUCUGUUCUAAAUGUUUAUACAGCAUGAUUUACUACAAUGUGGAUGUGUAAUUAUGGUGAUGAUUAGACAAAACAUUUUUGACAAGAAAGGAAAACAGUAGUUAAUAAUGUUUUCCAUCUGUUUGGUAAAACCCAACUUAAAAGGAAGGAGGCCUAAGCAUGUACCAGAGUCCAAGGCAACACCUAUGUAAGUACAUGACAGAAAUAUAAAUGCCUAAUGAAUUCAUUCUGAUCAUUGCUCACACAUUUUUGAAAGCACUACCAUCUGUUUUAUAGAUAAAUAUUACUGCAAUUAAUGUCAGCACAUGUUUAUAUUAUAUCAUUUCCAGAGUCUUAUUUUAGAGCUAAGACGCCUUUCUUUUCAGAAGGAAUAACGGCAUAUUUUAAGCUAUUGGCAGGAAAUGCAUUGUAAUUAGGAUAAAAUGAGUGAAUUUCAAUAAUGGCUUGCUUCUCUAUUGGAGAAAGUUAGAGCAUUUAAAGCUUCUGUUCUUCAUUAAGGGCCAGAUACUGGGUCACUGCCUGUACUGCUCACUGAAGGCUUAAAAAAAAAGCCUAAAAAUUGCACCUUGGCUGAACAUGGAAAACAGCACAAUAGAUAUAACAUGGAUGAGUCUUCUUCACCCUUGAGAUGUGUAUUUCAUGCCUCUGCUCUGCCCUUAUGUUGGUUGAUUAAGAGUUUAAUCAUGCCAUGAGCAUGGCUCUGAUCUACCCAAGCUCUUAAGCACAUACUAAACUUUUUAGUUUUUUCCAGGGCUGAGACAAAAGCAGGCAAGCUAAAGCUGCUACUUUUCCCCAUGGUGUUUAGCAAGGGCCUGGCUAUGAAUGUAGCAUGUCUUUAUGAUGAAGAUUUAAUCCUUCAGCUCCCACUAUGUUCCAACAAAACAAAAUCCCUUUAUGCAGAUUUAGCUCCUUCCCCAUCAGAGAAUCUAAGAAAUGUGUCCAAAACCAAACAGACCCCAUAAAUUAACUGGAUACUUAUUGACUUAGUACUUCUGUUUAUACGAUGUGCCAGUCAAAAUGCUAUAGAGGCCUGAUUGAAGGGGCACUGAAGUCAGCUGAAAGAUUCCUAUUGUCUUCAGUGGGCUUUGGAUGAGGAUCCAACUACAUUUGUGCAUCCAAAAAUAUGUAUAUCUGCAUCUGGAACAUGCCUGACACUUGAAAGAGAAUUCUUUUAUUGUUGUUCACUACAUCAAUACCUUACUUUCUAUGCCAGUGAAAUUAAGUUGCAGCUGAAUUGUUCUUGUCCUGCUGCCAAAAUUUCAUGCACCUGUAUGAGGACCUGCUAUUUGAAAAUCUGUGCCUGGUGACAGAGAUCGGUGGAAUUUUGUUUAGAAUAAAGUAACACAUUUUGUUCCUUCAAUAGAGUUUGAACUGCCAGUUCCACUGUCAGACCCAGAGCAUUGCUGUUUCAGCAUAAGGCAGGGCAGGGUGGCAUUUUUUAUUAGUAUCUCAGUUUUUCUUGACAGAACGUAAUUUUGUUUCUUCACAACAGCGACAGCAGAUGCUGCCUUUGCUAAAUCUAGCUAAGAUUUAAGCAUCUCUGGAGAGGCUUAAAUCUACUAGCACUACUCAGAAUAUUACUAACAGCCAAUAGAUUUUCCUGGAUGGCUUCCAUCAUGGAUUCCACUUAGGCAAAGUCCGUAAGUAUCCACCUAAGUUUCCAACUAAGUAAUUGCUGCUAAGACUGUUUUUAAGAAAAAGCUGCAUGUUUGUUUCCAGUAAAAAGUUCUGUUUGAAAAUGUUAAAAGACCACAGGGUAAAAUACAGGCUGCAGUCAAACCAGACUAUGUUGCAGCCUCUAUCUCUGAGUACCAGUCGGAACGCCAGAGAUCACUGGCACUGGAAAAGCAUCCUAGGUGAUUUAUGAUCCUUCAGUGGGGGACGUGCUACUGAAGCUAAAGCAAAACCAUCCCAAAAUGCAAAAGGCAAAAUUGAAACAAACCGAGUUCAUGCCUCCCCCUUCCUCCUCCCCACCCCAAACUUACAGUCUCCUCCUCAAAAAAUCUUGAAAACAAGAUAAAUUAGUAAAACUCAAAUAAGCAGUUAAAAACAAAACCCUUGUUAAGAAAACAAGGUACAUAGGUGCUGAAGACCACGGCACUAGCUUGUUACAAUUGGUAUUGUAAGAAGAGAAACUGUUUGGAUGACAGCUCCCUAAUUCAACCUCUUCCUCAGAAUUUCCACAAUGUUGUAUUAUAAUCCUGGAUGAGUAAAACAUCCAAAACAUGGAAACUUGGUACAAAGGUAAGAAGGGAUUUUGAAAUGGCCUUCAACAAAUCUCUGAGCAGAAUAUUAUAGCUAUUGAAAAGAGGAAACCCUAACUGGUUUCAAGGUGGAGUUUGGUAAGUUUAUAAAAGAAAUUUUAGGAUGUGGUUGCUUGUAGCAGCAGGUGACUGAAAUCAGUGAUCUAGGAAGUUCCUUUCUAGUCCUGUUUCCUAUGAAAACAAACCAAACCACAAAGUUUGAAUUCAUACCAAGACCCAAACAUCAGUGGGUUUGAGAGUGUUGGAUUCAGCAAUCUGGUUUGGUAUACUGCUAAGAGAGCCUGAUGGAAAGUUCUGGUCAAAAUUUGAACUUCUAGGAAGGAUGGAGUUUGUCAGACUUGGAAUUUUGGUGCAGAAGUAAAGCACACAUGGGCAUGUGCACACACCUUUUGCUUUGCGGUGUGUCCUUUCUUCUGAAAAAUCUUAAAACAGUAGUAGGCAACCCCCAGCACAGGUGCCAGUGUGUGGCACACAAAGGCAUUUUGCUUAGCAUGAGUGCUUCAGGGUGGACAACAGGGAAGGGUCCAGGGCCAUGCUGCCAUAACAAGGAUUGGGCCACUCAUGGCUCCCCCACUGUCUGCCCCUGGCACACCAACAUCUUACAAGUAAAGGUUGUGGGUGUUUUUGGCACUGCCCAAAAAUGUUGCUGACCCCUGUCUUGAAAGAUUUUACACAUAAUUAAAUAAGCCUCAGAGCACCCUUAAAAGUUAAGGAGAAUGUCACUUCUCGCUGAGAGCAAAUGCAGUAGCUGUUUAAGAGUGAAGAGUUAUGCUUCACAGGAGUCUAGAGCCAGAAGUGAUAAAGAAUACUACAUAUAGUUGAAACAUCUUGGAAGGCCAAAUGUAAUGACACGAGUGGGCCUAGGACAGGGUGGGCAAUUAUUUGGGCUGGCAGGCCACUUAAAGAGUUUUGGUGACCUGUUGAGGGCCACCAUCCCUCUCUCUCCCCCCCCAUCCUUCCCCCGCUGCAACCAACGCAGAUGCCUGAACCUACCUGCAGCUUUAGCAGGCCCUGCACUGCCCCCUCCCUUCCCCCACCCACAAUUCCAGACCCAACAGCUGUUCAACCAUGGCCAGCAGCUUCCAGGUCCAAGGGGGCGCAGAGGGUGCUACAGCUGCAGGCUACAACCAGCAUGUAAGCCUUAAACCCACCUGCAGCUGUAGCACGACCCACCCCCUUCCCCUCCUGGGAGUUGGCAGCUGCCAGAUCCAGACUUGGGGCAUGGAGGGUAUUCUUCCACUUCCGCACUGGUGGCAACUCCAGCCCAGAGAGAAAGAGAGCGUGCACCUGGCAUGCUGGAAGCAGCCCCAGGCCACCUGCAGGCCGGAUUCAUUCACUUGGUGGGAGCCCACCUGUGGUCCAGAUCCAAUCAGUUGGAGGGCCAAAUGUGGCCCACAGGCUGUAUUUUGCUUACCCCUGGCCUACAAUGACAUCUCUGCCCUUACAAAAGAUUGUGCAAGUUUGUCAGGACCCCAAGUUGCCAGGGUCUCUGUUUUAUGUCUUAUUCUCUUUAGUGUUCUCUGCUUUCUUGCUGGGACAUUGGUUUAGUCAGGUUCAGUUAGCUGAAUGCAAGUUAAUAUUGCUCAGCCCUUCAGCACCAACAUACAUCCCCAAUGGGGCUCAAUAUGCUGGAAUUCAGUAAAAGGCCUCACCCCCACUCACCCCAUCCCCAAAUUCCUGGCCCUUCUAGGAGCCCUGUGGGUUAUAUGAUGUGUUCUGAGGGCCAGAUUCAGCGCAUGGGCCGUACCUUUGACACCCUUGCCCUAGGUCAUAUCAAGCUUUAUGUGCAUGCAAAAUAUAUUACAGUAUUUAAAAAAAAUUACAACUGCAUUACGCAAGCUUUUCUGCAGGCAACUGAAACAGCUGCUAUAUGCUUUGGUGCUUUAUACUGUACCGUAAUAGAUAAAACUUCAAAGAAAUUAAGUUUUUUAACAAUAUGGCUUUGAGUCCAACCACCACAUAAAGCAGGAGGGAGAAGGCAGAAAAAUAUUUAUACAGGAUGUACUCAAAUUGUAAGGAAUAAAGGUUUCCCUAUGUAAGAACAUUUAUACAACAUGUUACUGUUCUGUGGAAAACAGAUUCUGGCUUGGAAAGUAUAGUAUUACACUUAACAGAUACAGCAUAGUUCCCAAUUAUUUUUCCUGUUUUCUUUUGCUGUCUAGCUUCCAUUCCUGUAGCUUUUUAGUAAAAUAAAAGGACCAGAAACUACAAUCCCUUGUGAAGUCUUGUAUUUAACUCAAAUGAGAGUUUUAACUGGAAAAAGCACUCUCAAUGGGCUGAGAGUUGUCCCAGUGACAUUGUACUUCUUAGGUUAAAGGGUGACAAGGGAAAGAAUACUCGGUUGUCUUCCUUGGUUGCACUGUCAGUUCUUCCUGUCUGACAGACCUGGAGCUUCUCUGUAAUAUUUUCACAAUACUGCAUGUGUCUGUGUGCUGGUUAUUGAGAAAGUUACUGUAUAAAUAUGUUGCUUAAGUUUAACUGUGGGCUGUUGGAAAACCAAGCAGGAAGUGGAGCAGUAGCUCAAGACUGGUCCCCAUUUAACAGCACUUAAGGGACAAUGCAAGAGCUAUUCAUUCUGAUAUUCUGUCUCUGAUCCCCUGCUGAGUUCUCUGGAGUAGUUUUUCAAAGUGUGCAUGGCUGGGCACAUGUGGGGAGAACUUGUGAGAGAACAAAGAUCCUGACUGGAUUUUAGAAAGAUUUGCAUCCUCAAGCAAGAGAUACACAUGUAAGGGAAAGACUGAGGCUUAGCCUACACAACAGAACUUUAAAAAUAGUAGUUACAUUAGAGCAGCAAAGAUCCCUCCAGAAGAUGCAGAUCUGCUGUUAGAAGGCAUUUUUCUUCUUUCUACAUUAUAUGAGCCCCCCUGAACAGCAGAAACCUUGCUAAGAGAAGCCUUCUUCUGCUGGCAGACUGUGUCAACAUUGGGAGUUUUGCCAGCAUAGCUACAUUAGUGACAGGGGGAGAUAUUUUCAGACCCCAAGCCACUGUAGCUAUGGUGGCAGAGACAAGGUCUGAUGCACAAAGCCCUAGUUAAGAAUGACUGGAAAAAUGAGGUUUCUACCAAAGAAUGGCAGGACUCUAGGGGAGAGGUAUGUGCAUGCAUUUCACUGAUGCUAUGCUUUAUUGCUGUUGAUAGGACUAAACAAUGCAGUAGUUGAAGAUCCAGCUCACUAGUCACCACUAUUCACAGAUUCAUGAACAUCUGCAGGGGCCUUUGUGUCAGCAGAGAAGACAGAGGAUAAGAAAACACAGGAAAAGUCCUUUAAAAAAAAGCCACAGGAAAGCCAUCAAGAGAAGAGUUGAACCAAGUGCAUCUGGGUGGUAACCAACCAUCAGUCUGGCUAACACCAAGAUGUGCACAAGUAAUUGGUGUGAACUGCAGUUGGAGAUAUGCAUGAGUUUCAAAACGAGAAGACCUACCUUAUGGAUGUAGCCAUGGAGUACUUCCACAUCUGUUAACUUCACUGGUGUUCUCUACAUCCAGCAAAAGCAAAAAAAACUAUACACUGUAUAAGUUAUGCAAACAAAGUAUACCUGUUCUGACCUCAGACAAUGAAUACAAUUACUUGUUUAAAAAGUGACUAAUAUUAUUUAAAAUAAAAACAUGGUUUUCUAACAGA